rnacentral:rRNA from 1 species
GAUGAACGCUAGCGGCAGGCCUAAUACAUGCAAGUCGGACGGGAUUGAGGAGCUUGCUCUUCAUGAGAGUGGCGCACGGGUGCGUAACACGUAUGUAACCUACCCAUAUCAGGGGGAUAGCCUCUCGAAAGAGAGAUUAAGCCCGCAUAAAAUCACACUGUGGCAUCACAGAAUGAUCAAAUAUUUAUAGGAUAUGGAUGGGCAUGCGGAACAUUAGCUAGUUGGUAAGGUAACGGCUUACCAAGGCUACGAUGUUUAGGGGAUCUGAGAGGAUGACCCCCCACACUGGUACUGAGACACGGACCAGACUCCUACGGGAGGCAGCAGUAAGGAAUAUUGGUCAAUGGACGGAAGUCUGAACCAGCCAUGCCGCGUGCAGGAAGACGGCCCUACGGGUUGUAAACUGCUUUUGUACGGGAAUAAACCUACCGACGUGUCGGUAGCUGAAUGUACUGUAAGAAUAAGGAUCGGCUAACUCCGUGCCAGCCGCCGCAGUAACAC